GACGAACGCUGGCGGCGUGCCUAAUACAUGCAAGUUGAGCGCUGAAGGUUGGUACUUGUACCGACUGGAUGAGCAGCGAACGGGUGAGUAACGCGUGGGGAAUCUGCCUUUGAGCGGGGGACAACAUUUGGAAACGAAUGCUAAUACCGCAUAAAAACUUUAAACACAAGUUUUAAGUUUGAAAGAUGCAAUUGCAUCACUCAAAGAUGAUCCCGCGUUGUAUUAGCUAGUUGGUGAGGUAAAGGCUCACCAAGGCGAUGAUACAUAGCCGACCUGAGAGGGUGAUCGGCCACAUUGGGACUGGGACACGGCCCAAACUCCUACGGGAGGCAGCAGUAGGGAAUCUUCGGCAAUGGAUGAAAGUCUGACCGAGCAACGCCGCGUGAGUGAAGAAGGUUUUCGGAUCGUAAAACUCUGUUGGUAGAGAAGAACGUUGGUGAGAGUGGAAAGCUCAUCAAGUGACGGUAACUACCCAGAAAGGGACGGCUAACUACGUG
rnacentral:rRNA from 1 species